GGCUAAGCCCCCUCCCCCAACCUGUCACAGACACAAAUAAUGAGAGGUUCCCAUGGUGAUUUUCACUGGAAUCAUAUGUAAUCUCUAAUUUCUACAAGAAGAUAUUAAAUAUUUGCCAAGAGAGACUGGGUAGCUGAUUUUCUAAUUGUGCUGCCUUUUGUAAAGAAAGAAGUAUAAUUCUACCAUUCUUUCUAUUCAAAAGUACAAUUCCACUGUUUUAAAUUAAACAAGAUGUUAUUUUAUUACAAAAAAGAGCACAAAAAUCUGUAGUAAAGAAAAGAAUCUGGAAGUGAUGGUGGUCAGCAGAUCAGACGACUUUACGUGUGAUAUAAUAAGAAACAAAACACAUUUCCAAAUAUUUUGUCAUACAACACCUUGAAUUUCUCUAUACUAUUUGCUUUCAAAACUUUCCUCCUCCCAAUGACAUUUCAGUGAAUUCGGCAAGAGUUUUGUCCCCAGUUUCUGUUAGGAUGUGAUUUUGAGCACUGGCAAAAACUGGGACCUUCUGAUUCACCCCUGUAAAAAACUGUAGUUGCCCUGAAAUCAAGGUUAAUUUAUAUCAGCUGACAUCCUGAGCAGCCGUGGUCAUUCUUCACAUUGACAAUUUACUGGGAUUUUGGGCAGCAAAGGGGAAAAUAAAGUGUCAAGUAUAGGCAGCCAGGAUAAACAGUAAACAAGAGUCAAAUAUUUGAAGUGCAGUCAUGAAAACAGGAGAAAGUGUCUUCCUUGCACAAUGCUGCAACCAAGAACAAGAAGAAAAAUUCAGAAAAUACAGAUUAAAAAAAAAAAAAAAAAGAGGAAAAAUAAAAUAACCUGACAAAUUUUGAAGGAUAUGGAAAACAGUAAACUGAUGUCUAUUCACCUCAUGGUUUUAAAAUUCUUACAUUCUUUUGUACUUGUGAGUGAUGUCCCAUCUCCCUUGAAGUCCAGGGCAAACUACCUACUGAGGUCAAGAAAUCACAUCAUGUAGGAUUUAAAACAGUCAUCUGCAGAACUGUUGGGAAACCUGUGUCUGAAACCUUUUAACUUGAUAUAGAAAAGUAUCUAUGAUAAAUAUAUUCCUUUGCCUUCAUGUAAACUGCUCUCCUGAUUGAAAUCGCUCUGAUUUAUUUCAGUGACCUCACACAUACAUAGACUUUAAACAUUUUUUCUUUCAAUAGCACCAUGAAUCUAGACUAGCACACUGUAUAUGCAUUCCUACGUGGUUCAGCUUAUGCAGGCCAUACAGAAGACUGUAGUCUUAAAACAGGCUUCAACUAAAACUUUACUGACUUCAUCAAAUUUCCUGUGGAAUGACAUGA
rnacentral:lncRNA from 1 species